GAUUAACGCUGGCGGCGUGCCUAACACAUGCAAGUCGAGCGGCAGCGAGUUUUACACUGAAUUCUGGAAGCUUCUAGUUGAGAGAGAAGAUUUAUUCAAGAAUUUUGUGUAAAAUGUCGGCGAGCGGCGGACGGCUGAGUAACGCGUGGGAACGUACCCCAAAGUGAGGGAUAACGCAUCGAAAGGUGUGCUAAUACCGCAUAUGGUCUUCGGAUUAAAGCCUUCGGGCGCUUUGGGAACGGCCUGCGUAAGAUUAGAUAGUUGGUGGGGUAAUGGCCUACCAAGUCGACGAUCUUUAACUGGUUUGAGAGGAUGAUCAGUCAGACUGGAACUGAGACACGGUCCAGACUCCUACGGGAGGCAGCAGUGAGGAAUCUUCCACAAUGGGCGAAAGCCUGAUGGAGCAACGCCGCGUGAAGGAUGAAGGCCUUCGGGUUGUAAACUGCUUUUAUAAGUGAGGAUUAUGACAGUAACUUAUGAAUAAGGAUCGGCUAACUACGUG
rnacentral:rRNA from 1 species